UUUUUUCAUUUGUUCUUCUUACUGGAGGGUUUUUUCCUCCACACUUCGCGUGGAGAUUUUUUCCUUUCUUUCCCUACUUCACGCAAGAAGGGUUUUUUACAAACAUGCUUUUUAAGGGAAGCAUACGUUUCCCCUUAUUCAUAUAUUCAUUCGAAAUACACCAUAAUACUAGUCACACUAUCUUUUGUUUAACGCAUAUUUUUUUAUUGAUUUAGAAAUAUGGAACGAAACGAAAUAGUUCAUUCUGCUACCGUGGAUAAGGAAUUGCCCAAUAAUUGGACAUCCUUAGAUAGAUUUUCAUCCAAUAACAUUGAGGAAGAUACUCAAACUGUUUCUAAAGAAGUGGAGUCAAUUCAUCGUUUGUGGAAAAUCGACAUGGAAAAGGAAGACCCCAAAGGAGAUCCUACCGUAGUAGAGGCGCGGGUUUCAGCAUAAUAAUUAACCCAAGGUAAAGAGAAAAUUUGGAUGAGAUGGAAAGGAGAAAAAGAUUUCCAAAAAGAAUUUCGAUCAUCCAAUAGACUCGUCACUCAAAUACUAAGAGCUAUUCAUAUACUUGCAGAAAAAGAAAAGGCAGCCCCAAGUGCGGAAAUUGAAAUAAGAAUGAUUCAAAAUCCAGUUGGGAGAUCAUUCAAAGAAAUUGGUAAUUAUAUUCGAAAAUGUCAAUUGUUAUUGGUAUGAACCGAAUGAAGACCCAUUUCUUCAUCAAUAUUAUGAUCUUACAGAAGGAUAUCUUAAAUUAAACGCUACAGUUGAGUUUGAAUUGUCAAAUAGGCAGUCACGUUAAUUCAGCAAAUACUUAGCAUAAUACAAUUCAAUGCUGGAAACCUUAUUGAAGGAUUUAAAGGGAACUCUGAAAACAAAAAUGUCUUAUUACAAUUUUCCAAUUGGAAAUCUUCCUGUAAUAAUUUAUUUAAAGACAUGCAAGAGAUGCCAGGAUAUGACAAAACAAUCCCGUUCCAAGAGCUAAAAGGUUGUAUGGAAGAGCCAGCAUAUCUCUUCUAUCUGUCUACUCUGCUAUGUCACCGAAAUCGUACGACGAGGCCAUGAGAAAAUUGACAGAAGCAUAUGAUGCUCCAAUUAAAUUGGCAGAUUGCUAUCUCACAAAAGCGACAGACAAGUCUCAAAGUGACUAUAUCCUUGCAUAAUCCAUUAUAAGAUAAGAUCGUCUAGAAAAUUAAAUGUUUAAAAGAUUCCUUCAAGAGACAAGGAGUUGACAUGUAUGAAAUCGCCUCGAUGCAUGCCUUUCAUAAAAUACUAUCCCCUGCUAUGACUCCUUGUCUUUAGGAGACUCACUCCCAAAAUGGACAGCGGGAAUGGUUGAAAAUAUGCCUUUUUUUCAACAUCUGGCUGUGCCUCUUUAAAGCAAAGACUCCUACUGAUACUAUCACAUAGUCAAAUAACACAGCAACAGCUAACAACUUUGCUAUAUCACAGUCAUAGAAUAAAUGCAAGUUGUGCGACAAAGAUCAUCAAACCUCCAACAAAGAAAAAUGUGGUAAGAAAGUCCAACCAAAAAUAGUUUGAUUUAAUUAAAAUAACAUCUUCUAAAACUGUCUAGUAUUGUAAAUAUUCACAUUAUCAAUAAAAAUAAACCUAUAAAUACAUCCCAA
rnacentral:lncRNA from 1 species